GUGUCAGCAGCCGCGGUAAUACGGAGGAUCCAAGCGUUAUCCGGAUUUAUUGGGUUUAAAGGGUGCGUAGGCGGCCUAUUAAGUCAGGGGUGAAAGACGGUGGCUCAACCAUCGCAGUGCCCUUGAUACUGAUGGGCUUGAUUACACUUGAGGUAGGCGGAAUGUGACAAGUAGCGGUGAAAUGCAUAGAUAUGUCACAGAACACCAAUUGCGAAGGCAGCUUACUAAGGUGUUAAUGACGCUGAGGCACGAAAGCGUGGGGAUCAAACAGGAUUAGAUACCCCGGUAGUCC
rnacentral:rRNA from 1 species